AUAGAAGAUUGGGAGAGAAUGAUGUAAAUAAGGAAGAGAGAGUGGAGGAGAUGAGGAAUGAAAUAAAGUGAAGAGAGAAGGGUAAAAUAGUUAUUUUAUAACGAGCUUAAAACUCAUGUGACAUGCUUCAUUGACCUAUUCAUAAUUAUUAUAAAUAAUUCAUUGAUUAUGUCCAAAAAUAAAAUUGGCCAUUGAUAUAUGGCUAAUUAGUGAAGGUAAUAAAAAACCUUAAAUUUUAAGGAUAUUUGGCCAAACACCAUUCUCAUGAAAGUUUCGUACUUUCAAAUUGGAAAGAGUAAUAUUUCAUCUCUCGUGAAUUAGCGUUGCAGUUGCGAUUAUGCAAAUUAGUUGGUUGUGCAAAAUUUUUAUAUGUAUGCAGAUACCAAAAGUGUAUCCAUGUGGGGCGUUUUGGUAUUUCUGUACGUUUGUUGGGGUGCGGGGUGUGGAAGACCGAGGGGGCGCAGGCCGAUUUCGAUGCCUAGGAGGGGGAUUUCAGGGAUUUGCAGAGAGAUGAGAGAUAAGACAACGGGUGUCCGUUGCAGAGAGAGAUGGGUGUUCGAUGCCUAGGAGUGAAGUUUUGAUGUUUUAAACUCAAGGAAAAAGAGUACAAAGACCGUGGAAGGGGUGUAUAUCAAUCUAACCAUUUUUGUCUAUGGAUAACAAAACGUUAUGUGGUAUUUUUAUGUCUACUGUAAGAACUGAAACGUUUGUGUGUAAGUAAACUUAUGUGUUGUCCAUUUAAUUUGAUUUAGUGUGAAUUUAUCUAGCUUUGUAGCUAAUUUUAUGGCAAUAUUGAUUCACACGUUUAAUUUCC